rnacentral:rRNA from 1 species
AGCGAACGCUGGCGGCAGGCCUAACACAUGCAAGUCGAACGAACCUUUCGGGGUUAGUGGCGGACGGGUGAGUAACACGUGGGAACGUGCCUUUAGGUUCGGAAUAACUCAGGGAAACUUGUGCUAAUACCGAAUGUGCCCUUCGGGGGAAAGAUUAAUCGCCUUUAGAGCGGCCCGCGUCUGAUUAGCUAGUUGGUUGAGGUAAUGGCUCACCAAGGCGACGAUCAGUAGCUGGUCUGAGAGGAUGAUCAGCCACAUUGGGACUGAGGCACGGCCCAAACUCCUACGGGAGGCAGCAGUGGGGAAUCUUGCGCAAUGGGCGAAAGCCUGACGCAGCCAUGCCGCGUGAAUGAUGAAGGUCUUAGGAUUGUAAAAUUCUUUCACCGGGGACGAUAAUGACGGUACCCGGAGAAGAAGCCCCGGCUAACUUCGU